rnacentral:piRNA from 1 species
UGAGAAGGAUGCACCCGAGUGCCCAGUGGAC